UACGUAGGGUGCAAGCGUUAAUCGGAAUUACUGGGCGUAAAGGGCUCGUAGGUGGCCAACUAAGUCGGACGUGAAGUCCCUCAGCUUAACUGGGGAACUGCGUCCGAUACUGGAUGGCUUGAGUUUGGGAGAGGGAUGCGGAAUUCCAGGUGUAGCGGUGAAAUGCGUAGAUAUCUGGAGGAACACCGGUGGCGAAGGCGGCAUCCUGGACCAACACUGACACUGAGGAGCGAAAGCCAGGGGAGCAAACGGU
rnacentral:rRNA from 1 species